UCGUCUUUUCUUUCUCCUCUUUUUCGUUCUUACCCCAGGCGGAGGGGGACAGUUCACCGACCAGUAAACUUCAUCGUCUGCUGGCGGAGUCUCGUCAAAUGGUUCAAAACCUCGAACAAUCUUCCACCUUCUCUCUGACCGGAAGUCCUAAGCAGGACUCUACAGUUCCUACAAGUGACCAGUACACACCGCCACAAAGACAUCUGGCAAGUCCUCUACAAUCACGUCCCCUUCAUACGUCCGCCGAAUGAAAAGAAGAGUCGUCACGACGUUCAACUGAUCAUUGCAGAGUCCAGCGUGUGACACAGCACCAUUUAUCCCAUGCUAUGUGCCAAGUUUGUGAAAAGACAUGUUAACAUCGAUAUUAUUGGUUCACUUAACUUACUGCCGUCUUGAAUCACGCUUUCGGUCGUUUUGUCGAGUCCUCUCGGACACUUUCGUAACAAAUUCGUAUGAUUAUCGGAAACCCGAGUGCUUGGUCAGAAGCCGAUACUGCUCGAUUCAAGAUGGCUGCAAACAGUUAUUCCAGUGAAUAUAAAUAUUGUUUUUAAACAGAUAGCUUAGCUUGAGUAACGCUUGUGUUUUAAUCUGUACAUAGAAAAUGUUGGAUAGAGACCAACCCUAUUUUGUUUUUGAGUUUACGACGCAUCUCGUAAAAAUCCAUUCCUUUAAAUUCACUUCCCAACGCGUAAAUUAAAAGGAACUCAGUCACGGUAUUUGGAGUUAUUUUGUAAACAUACAAAAUUACAUUUAAAUUGAAGGAAACCUGAAAAUAAUAGUUAACUAAGUUUGAGAAACACAAAAGAGAUAAUAUUAAACUAUUAAGGAACAAGGCUGGUUAAGGAUGCUGAAGAUUGACACGGGUUACAAACGAACUUGAAAAAUUUAAGCUAGACUUUUUAAAAUGCUCAAACAGUGACGUAGCUUCUUUAUUUAAGUUCGUCGUUGGUUUGACAUUUUAUUCUUUAUCUUGGCUAAGAACGGCAGAAAAUUAAGGUGUUCUUUAAGCUCCUCAAAGUUAAAAUGUAUGAUUUUAGUAAGCGGUCAUAUAUUUUUCUUAAACGAAGGCAAAUGCGUUGAUUUGAAAGAGUAAGCUGUACUUUCACGCCGGAAUACCGCCUGAUGUUUUUUCUCUUUAUUCUGUGUUGGCUGAAGGUUGUGGUGAACACUCCAGUGUAAAAAAUGGGGCCAAACUGUCUCUAUAGUUGGUUAGAGGGGACGGGAAGUCUCUCUUACGAAAAACUGGUGACAAGACGCCGUUUUUUUCUCGAUUCGUCACUGUAAUCUAUGCCUCCGUCGUCCAAACCCUUUAAAUCCGUAUUCGCACGAAUUUUAAGCGCAUGAAGCCAAUUCAAUGAAAGAACCAUUUCGUCACUUUAAAUUCCCCAUAAAAUGUCUUUCAUCUCUGCCAAUAUUUAAUCAAAAACCCAUCGUGGAUCAUUCUAGAUUACUUACAAUUCCUUCCACUGUAAUAUUGAAGCAUUUUAUUUUGUAGUUAGUUUCCAUGAUCAUUUCAUCUUUUUAUUUUCAUAUAGGGUUUUUACUAGGUACAAAUGAUUGUAGGUAGAUCUUCAUAUUUAAUAGAUAGUAUUUAAAUGAUGUGAAUGUAGACUUGUGUAUGAACAAUUGAUUUAUUUAAUUCAGAAUCCUGUGAUCUGAACGAGUGAAAUUGAAUGGGAGAAAAUGGAUAAUAAACUGUGAGAAUUCUGAA